rnacentral:rRNA from 1 species
UGGGGAAUAUUGCGCAAUGGGGGGAACCCUGACGCAGCCAUGCCGCGUGAAUGAAGAAGGCCUUCGGGUUGUAAAGUUCUUUCGGUAUUGAGGAAGGUUGAUGUGUUAAUAGCACAUCAAAUUGACGUUAAAUACAGAAGAAGCACCGGCUAACUCCGUGCCAGCAGCCGCGGUAAUACGGAGGGUGCGAGCGUUAAUCGGAAUAACUGGGCGUAAAGGGCACGCGGGCGGUUAUUUAAGUGAGGUGUGAAAGCCCCGGGCUUAACCUGGGAAUUGCAUUUCAGACUGGGUAACUAGAGUACUUUAGGGAGGGGUAGAAUUCCACGUGUAGCGGUGAAAUGCGUAGAGAUGUGGAGGAAUACCGAAGGCGAAGCNNGCCCCUUGGGAAUGUACUGACGCUCAUGUGCGAAAGCGUGGGGAGCAAACAGGAUUAGAUACCCUGGUAGUCCACGCUGUAAACGCUGUCGAUUUGGGGAUUGGGGUUUAACUCUGGCGCCCGUAGCUNACGUGAUAAAUCGACCGCCUGGGGAGUACGGCCGCAAGGUUA